UGGAAGUGGUUACACCUUAAGGCAGAGCUUAUACCUCUGACUACGGUACGAUCAGCAACUGGGGUGAAGUCGUAACAAGGUAGCCGUAGGGGAACCUGCGGCUGGAUUACCUCCUUUCUAAGGAAGACCAAAAUAUUUCUUUUGGUCUCAAAAAAUAAAGUUAAUGUGGCCGUCCUCAUUUCUCUUCUUACUAAUUAAAGUGUCUCAUAAAUGCUUAGGGGCCGGUAGCUCAGGUGGUUAGAGCGCACCCCUGAUAAGGGUGAGGUCGCACGUUCGAGUCGUGCUCGGCCCACCAUUUUUCAUGGGGGAUUAGCUCAGCUGGGAGAGCGCCUGAUUUGCAUUCAGGAGGUCAGCGGUUCGAUCCCGCUAUCCUCCACCAAAUUUGUCACUUUUAGUUUUUUUAAAUUGUAAAUAAUGAAUAUCAAUUUUGAUUGUUCUAACAGUAUGAACAAUCAAACAAUAUCUAUAUCCGAUUGUUCGAAUAGAUGAACAAUCAAUAAAUAUUCGAAUAGAUGAAUAUUUAAUUAAAAAUUUAAUUUAGACAGAAAAUUAUUUUCUGUGCAUAAAUCAAGCGUUUAAGGGCGUAUGGCGGAUGCCUAGGCACUGAAAGGCGAUGAAGGACGUGGUAUACUGCGAUAAGUUUCGGGGAGCUGUAUGCAGGCUUUGAUCCGAAAAUUU
rnacentral:misc_RNA from 1 species